GAUCCUGGCUCAGGAUGAACGCUGGCGGCAUGCCUAAUACAUGCAAGUCGAACGAGAGGAAGGAAAGCUUGCUUUUCUGAAUCUAGUGGCGAACGGGUGAGUAACACGUAGGUAACCUGCCCAUGUGCCCAGGAUAACUUCUGGAAACGGAUGCUAAAACCGGAUAGGUAGCAGACAAGCAUUUGACUGCUAUUAAAGUGGCCUUGGCCAUGAAACAUGGAUGGACCUGCGGUG
rnacentral:rRNA from 1 species